UUCUCUCUGCCCUGCAGGUGAGGUCUGACUGCCCAGGCGGAAUAAUAUUGAAGAAGGGCUUUGGCUUGGCGGAUGUUGUGAGCAAGCCCUCCAAGAAGAGGGAAGCCUGAUGCAUCCCCAGAGGAGCCCACGUAGUAGGGACUCGCAUGAGGCCCAAAGACCCACGGCAGGAGUGGAGAGACU
rnacentral:other from 1 species